CUGACCUCUAAUGCAAACACAGAAAAACCAUCAAAGUGCUGUUUCCUUUUAAGCUAAGCUAACAAUGUGACAAUGUCAUAUUAACCACAGUGAAUGUACACAACUGCACCAUCUUUCAUGUAGUGCUUUGCUAAUAACUCAGAAACUGAGGCUUGAGUAGCUUUCUUCAGCUCAAUUUCAUUCCAGAGCUAGUCUGAGAUUUUGCUGCACAUUGGAAUAUACCAAAGCAAUGUUUCAUGUAACACUGUCUGAUAUUUAAUACAGAUUACUGACUGGAAAUAAGAAGCUGAAACUUGCACUGGAUCCAGUCGUUCCUUCAUAGACCUCAGCACAGGAACUGCUCACCACAGUGUUAGCAAGUUCACCACCCUUCACUAAAACCAGCCCUUUUUAUUGAAAUCAAAUAUUGAAAAAUGGUUGGACUUGAUGAUCUUAAAGAUCUUUUCCAACUUAAACUUCUCUGUGAUUCUGUGAAAUUUCACUUCUCCUCUCAGUUUUGGGAUGAGAUGAUUCCGAAAAGAAGUUCCCAUUUCUUUUCUUUUUCUCCCUUCCGUUCACUGUGGCCUGUGUGAAGCACUGCUGAGGGGGAAGGGCUGAGCUCACUGCCCCCUUCCCUGCUCAUAUCCAGGCAGCCCCUGCCUUGAGCAAUAUCAGAGAUCUAGGGGGGCAGAAGUGUCUGCCACAAACAGCUAACAUGAUACACUGGCAAUUUUAAAGAGAAAGGUCUUCACAGAUUACACAGAAUCACAGAAUGGUAGGAGUAGGAAGGGACCUCUAGAGACCAUCUAGACCAGCCCCCCAGCUCAAGCAGGUCCAUCUAGAUCAGGUCACACAGGAAUGCAUCCAGGCAGGUUUUUAAAACCUCCAGAGAAGGAGAUUCCACACCCUCCCUGGGCGGCCUGUUCCAGGGCUCCCUCACACUUACAGUAAAGAAAUUUUUCCUUAAGUGAAACUUUUUGUGUUCCAGCUUUUGUGAAUUGACAUACACUUUUCAAAUAUUUCUAUUAAUGAGGUCCACUUUCAGUCCCAGUUCCCGCAGCCUUUCCUCAUAAGGAAGAUGUUCCACUCCCCUGAUCAUCUUAGUGGCCCUGCACUGGACUCUCUCUAGAAGUUCUCUGUCCCUCUUAAGCUGAGGAGCCCAAAACUGGACACAGGACUGCAGAUUAGGUCUCACCAGGGCAGAGCAGAGAGGAUGGAGAAUCUGCCUGGACCUCACAUCAGAGUAUUGACUGGUUGGAGAGGCUGGUUGCUUUCUGCUGAAUGCAUGGGUAAUACACAGGUUUUGCAGACCAAAGCAGAUGCUUAUUUCAGUGUAUUAGAACAUAUCUUGCCUGGGCACAGAGCAAGCUGUACCAGGAUGAACAGUAAGAUGCUCGAGAACUUGCAAUGAAAAUAUUCAUUGCACUGGCCUUAAGGGAAGUGAUAGACUCUCAUGUCCUGAAGCACAAAGAGAAUGUAUGCUUCUCCCUCAGACAAGUAAAACAGGCUUAAAACAGGUGAUUGCAGGUUUAAUACGGAUCAGAGACUGCUGUGUGCCAAACUCUCAUCUUAGCACUCGUUCAGCUUUAUACAGGGGUCAGGCACUUUGUCAUGGAGUAUCAAGGAAGCCAAACCCUGCUCCUCAAUUCUGCACUAGUCUGGCCCCAAGGGUCACUUGUCAGUAGAUAGCCUGGAAAUCAGUACCCUUCUGGCAUGCCCUGGACACAGCCACAGGCCCAAAAGCCACUUGAGCUCAGCAGACCAGCAAACUACUGUCAAAGGAGGAGAGUGAGGGUGGCUGCCAGGAGCUCUGCCCAGGUUUGUAAGUCCUGCACAGUGAAACAGCACUUCAUCCACAGCUGCUACAAAAUGGUCAAUGUACUGGCAAAGCAAGGAGAUUUUAAAAUUGCUAGUUAAAACUGAUUACCUGUGUUUAUGUCACUGAAAAGCCUGUGAACAAGAAGAAAAAACCCGCUUGUUUUCAGCUUGGUUUCUGAAGAAGCAGCCAUGCCAUGCCAAUUGAUUCUCCAGCUUGUGGCUGCUUUCCCAGCUAGUAAAUCCAGCUCAAAAUACUUCUCAGUCUGGUAGCUGCUUUCAAUGAAGUUGGAAAGAAAUGGUAGAAGCCUGGAUGCAGAGAGAAGGAAAGAGACACAGUUGGUAUUGCCUUUCUCUCCUCCCCCUUCAAGUUAAGGCUUUGUAGCUAAAAUAUGCCAGAUUCCUAAAGGCCCAGGGUGCUAUAUAUGGCCUCUGACUAAGAGUGAGGUGUGUUUUCAGCUCUGUUGUGUCACCUUAGAAACUUGUCAAUAGUCUCUGCUUUUUAUCAGAUAGAAAAAGUAAAGACAGCUGAGUGCCACUCACCCUGCAGGGAUGGUCUAUGCUGUCUUGUGGGGAUGGUUCGUCCGCCAGCCUGGCACCCUGCAGACUUGGCUUGGAGGGAACGUCAGCACCAGCAGCUCUGCCAAGAGCAGAGAUCAAUUCCUCAACCAGGCAAAGCAGGGCUCAGCUGAGGCCACACAUCCCGAAGUUUCCCACCGCUGCAACAACAGAUCUUCUCUAAGCACCUGCUUCCUCUUCCAAAGAAGGUAGUUGUAGAGAGUGACCAUGUCUCCCCUCAGCCUCUUCUCCAGACUAAACAACGCCAGUUCCUUCAGCUACUCCUCAAUAAGACUUGUGCUCCAGGCCAGCUUCGUUGCCUGUCUCUGGAAACGCUCCAGCACUUCAGUGUCUUUCUUGCUGUGAGAGACCCAAAACUGCCCACAGUAUUCAAGGUCGCAGCUGGGCUCCUGCAGAGGUGGGACCAAUUACGUGUUCCCAUGGAGUGUCACUGGAAACUCUCACUUGAUUACACAUUUCUCCAGACUAAACAGCUCCAGUUCCCGCAGCCUUUCUUCAUAUGAAAGAUGUUCCAGUCCCCUGAUCAUCUUGGUGGCCCUGUGCUGGACUCUGUCCAGCACUUCCCUGUCCCUCUUGAGCUGAAGAGCCCAGAACUGGACACAGUACUCCAGAUGAGGCCUCACCAGGGCAGAGUAGAGGGGGAGAAGAACCUCCCUUGACCUGCUGGUCACACUCUUCUUGAUGCAUCCCAGAAUGCCAUUGGCCUUCUUGGCCACGAGGGCACAUUGCUGGCUCAUAUUUAGUUUAUUAUCAAUCAGGACUCCCAGGUCUCUCUCUG